GCCUGGCUGGCUCAGUUGGUAGAGCAUGUGACCCUCAAUCUCAGAGUCUUGAGUUCAAGUCCCACAUUGGGUG
rnacentral:tRNA from 1 species